rnacentral:tRNA from 1 species
GCGGUCGUGGUGGAACUGGCAGACACGCUGUCUUGAGGGGGCAGUGCCCAUUGGGCGUGUGGGUUCAAAUCCCACCGACCGCACCA